rnacentral:rRNA from 1 species
AUUGAACGCUGGCGGCAUGCUUUACACAUGCAAGUCGAACGGCAGCGCGGGCUUCGGCCUGGCGGCGAGUGGCGAACGGGUGAGUAAUGCAUCGGAACGUGCCCAGUAGUGGGGGAUAGCCCGGCGAAAGCCGGAUUAAUACCGCAUACGACCUGAGGGUGAAAGCGGGGGACCGAAAGGCCUCGCGCUCUUGGAGCGGCCGAUGUCGGAUUAGCUAGUUGGUGGGGUAAAGGCUUACCAAGGCGACGAUCCGUAGCUGGUCUGAGAGGACGACCAGCCACACUGGGACUGAGACACGGCCCAGACUCCUACGGGAGGCAGCAGUGGGGAAUUUUGGACAAUGGGGGCAACCCUGAUCCAGCCAUGCCGCGUGCGGGAAGAAGGCCUUCGGGUUGUAAACCGCUUUUGUUCGGGAAGAAAUCCUAUGGGCUAAUACCCCGGGGGGAUGACGGUACCGGAAGAAUAAGCACCGGCUAACUACGUG